AAUGAACGAAAGUUUGACACAGCGACACCGCGUGUGGGAUGACGGAUCUAGGUUUGUAAACCACUUUCAGGAGGGAAGAAAUGACGGUACCUCCACAAGAAGCCCCGGCCAACUACGUGCCAGCAGCCGCGGUAAUACGUAGGGGGCGAGCGUUAUCCGGAAUUAUUGGGCGUAAAGCGUCCGCAGGCGGCCCUUCAAGUCUGCUGUUAAAAAGUGGAGCUUAACUCCAUCAUGGCAGUGGAAACUGUUGGGCUUGAGUGUGGUAGGGGCAGAGGGAAUUCCCGGUGUAGCGGUGAAAUGCGUAGAUAUCGGGAAGAACACCAGUGGCGAAGGCGCUCUGCUGGGCCAUCACUGACGCUCAUGGACGAAAGCCAGGGGAGCGAAAGGGAUU
rnacentral:rRNA from 1 species